rnacentral:rRNA from 1 species
AACGAACGCUGGCGGCAGGCUUAACACAUGCAAGUCGAGCGCCUCGCAAGAGGAGCGGCCGACGGGUGAGUAACGCGUGGGAACGUACCCUUAUCUUCGGAAUAGCUCUGGGAAACUGGAAGUAAUACCGAAUGUGCCCUUAGGGGGAAAGAUUUAUCGGAUAAGGAUCGGCCCGCGUUGGAUUAGCUAGUUGGUGGGGUAAAGGCCUACCAAGGCGACGAUCCAUAGCUGGUCUGAGAGGAUGAUCAGCCACAUUGGGACUGAGACACGGCCCAAACUCCUACGGGAGGCAGCAGUGGGGAAUAUUGGACAAUGGGCGCAAGCCUGAUCCAGCCAUGCCGCGUGAGUGAUGAAGGCCUUAGGGUUGUAAAGCUCUUUCACCGGAGAAGAUAAUGACGGUAUCCGGAGAAGAAGCCCCGGCUAACUUCGUG